rnacentral:rRNA from 1 species
GAUGAACGCUAGCGGCAGGCUUAAUACAUGCAAGUCGUGGGGCAGCAGGUUUGUAGCAAUACAGAUGCUGGCGACCGGCAAACGGGUGCGGAACACGUACAGAACCUUCCUUUGAGCGGGGAAUAGCCCAGAGAAAUUUGGAUUAAUACCCCAUAGUAUAAUGAAGUGGCAUCACUUUAUUAUUAAAGAUUUAUCACUCGAAGAUGGCUGUGCGGCUGAUUAGGUAGUUGGCGGGGUAAAGGCCCACCAAGCCUGCGAUCAGUAACUGGUGUGAGAGCACGACCAGUCACACGGGCACUGAGACACGGGCCCGACUCCUACGGGAGGCAGCAGUAAGGAAUAUUGGUCAAUGGAGGCAACUCUGAACCAGCCAUGCCGCGUGGAGGAUGAAGGUCCUCUGGAUUGUAAACUUCUUUUAUAUGGGACGAAAAAAGGCUUUUCUAAGUCGUCUGACGGUACCAUAUGAAUAAGCACGGCUAACUCCGUGCCAGCAGCCGACGG